rnacentral:rRNA from 1 species
GACGAACGCUGGCGGCGUGCUUAACACAUGCAAGUCGAACGGAAAGGCCCUGCUUUUGUGGGGUGCUCGAGUGGCGAACGGGUGAGUAACACGUGAGUAACCUGCCCUUGACUUUGGGAUAACUUCAGGAAACUGGGGCUAAUACCGGAUAGGAGCUCCUGCUGCAUGGUGGGGGUUGGAAAGUUUCGGCGGUUGGGGAUGGACUCGCGGCUUAUCAGCUUGUUGGUGGGGUAGUGGCUUACCAAGGCUUUGACGGGUAGCCGGCCUGGGAGGGUGACCGGCCACAUUGGGACUGAGAUCGGCCCAGACUCCUACGGGAGGCAGCAGUGGGGAAUAUUGCACAAUGGGCGGAAGCCUGAUGCAGCAACGCCGCGUGCGGGAUGACGGCCUUCGGGUUGUAAACCGCUUUCGCCUGUGACGAAGCGUGAGUGACGGUAAUGGGUAAAGAAGCACCGGCUAACUACGUG